ensembl:lncRNA
UUUUUCCCGUUACCGGUGCAGCAAAUUUUCAUUUAAAUUACCCGGUAUCUGUGGCUAUCAACCUUAAGCGAUCACCAGAAACGCCUGGAGGGAAGCGUAAAAACAAGAUUUCUGGGUGCCGCCCCCAGAGUUUCUGAUUCACUCAAAGCCAGUCCUGGUCACCUGCUCAUGCAUUUUUGCCUCAGAAGCAUCUUUGCCUCUGUUUCUCCCUCUGGUCGACUCUUCAGGACUAAGCUUCUCUCUCCUCCUCUGCUUCUUUCCCUCUGCUGCUCCUGUGCCACCUCUCCCCUCCUUCUACCUUGCAUCAGACUUCCACACGGAGACAACAUGAAGGAGACAACCCCACCAGUGAGGGCUGCUCCCCCUGGAUCGAGUUCUUGCACCUAUCCUGGUAGAAUGAAUGAAAGCUCCAUGAAGUAAUCGAGACCAAUCUUUGCAAUAAAUAUUUCAAUAUUUCUUUCA